ACAUUUUAAGUAUAAAAUUGUACACUUACCUUCCAAGUAAGAAGAUUAAUAAAUUUAAAAAAUGUA
rnacentral:tRNA from 2 species